rnacentral:rRNA from 1 species
AGCGAACGCUGGCGGCAGGCCUAACACAUGCAAGUCGAACGAACUCUUCGGAGUUAGUGGCGGACGGGUGAGUAACACGUGGGAACGUGCCUUUUGGUUCGGAAUAACUCAGGGAAACUUGUGCUAAUACCGAAUGUGCCCUUCGGGGGAAAGAUUUAUCGCCAUUAGAGCGGCCGCGUCUGAUUAGCUUGUUGGUGAUGGAACGGCUCACCAAGGCGACGGUCAGUAGCUGGUCUGGGAGGAGGACCAGCCACGCUGGGACUGAGACACGGCCCAGACUCCUACGGGAGGCAGCAGAGGGGAAUCGUGCGCAAUGGACGAAAGCCUGACGCAGCCAUGCCGCGUGAAUGAUGAAGGGCUUAGGAUUGUAAAAUUCUUUCACCGGGGACGAUAAUGACGGUACCCGGAGAAGAAGCCCCGGCUAACUUCGUG